rnacentral:lncRNA from 1 species
CUUUUUUAGUAUAACUAUAUUUUUCAGUUGUUAUAAAUACAAUGAUACAAAUUUUUACAUGUAAUAUAGAAUCAUUCAGCAGUCUAAAAAUCUUGACUUAUUUAAAAUUAAACUUUAAAUUUUGGGAUCAUUGUAGAACCACAUGCAGUUGUGAGAAAUAAUACAGAUUCCAUGUACCAGUCACCCAAUUCCCUCAGUCGUAGCAUAUUACAAAACUAUAGUACAAUAUCAGAACCAGGAUAUUGGCAUUGAUUACAAUCAAGAUGCAGAAAAAUUUCAUCACUACAAUGAACUCUACUGUUGACCUUUUAUAGCCACAUCUUACUCCCUCCCUGCUUUCCUCUCUUCUUGGCCCCUGGCAACCACUCAUCUGUCUUUAUUUCUAUCAUUUUGCCAUUUGAAGAAUGUCAUAUAAAUGAAGUCAUACAGUAUGUAACCUUUUGGUACUGCCAUUUUUUUACUCACGUAAUUCCUUUAAGAUUCAUCCAAGUUGCCUGUGUGUAUCAUUAUUUCUUUUUAUUGUUGAGUAAUAUAGUCCAUAGCAUGGAUAUACUACAAUUUGUUUAACAAUAUACCUGAUGAAGAACAUCUGGGUGGGUUCCAGUUUUCGGUGAUUAUGAAUAAAACUGUUAAAAACAUUCAGGUACAGGUUUUUAUGCAAACAUAAGAUUUAAUUUCUCUUGGACAAAUGCCCAGGAGUACAAUUGUUUGGUCAUAUGGCAGGUGCACAUUUCAUUUUUAAGAAACUGCCAGACUGUGUUUCCAGAGUGGCUGUACCAUUUUAUAUUCCCAUCAGCAAUCAGUGAAUAAUCUGGUUCUCCACAUUUGGUGUUGUCACUUUUUAAAAAUUUCUAACCAUUCCAAUAGGAUAUAGCGAUAUCUCACUGUGACUUUAAUUUAUAUUCCCCUAUUGAGAAAUGAUGUUGAACGUCUUUUCACGUGCUUACCUGCCAUGUGUAUAUCUUCUUUGUUGAGAUGCCUCAUGUUUUUUGCUCAUUUUCUAAUUGGAUGGUUUGAUGUUUUUACUGUCGAGUUUCAAAUAUUCCUUAUAUAUUCUAAAUACUAGUCAUCUGUCAGAUAUGAGGUGUGCAAAUAUUUUCUUCCACUUUGUAGCUUGUCUUUUCAUCUUCUCAGAGUCUUUCACAGAGCAAAAGAUUUUAAAUUUUGAUCAAUUUUUUCCUUUUAUGGAUUGUGCUUUUGGUGUAAAGUUUAAGAAGAAUGAUUUACCUAGCCCCAGAUCCUUAAGAUUUUCUUUUUUCUGUAAAAGUUUUAUAUUUUUAAGUUUGUGAUUCAUUUUGAGUUAAUUUUUGUAUAAGAUGUGAGACUUAGAUCAAGGUUUUGUUUUGUUUUGUUUUGUUUUUUUGUCUAUAGAUGUCCAAUUACUCCAGCAGUAUUUGUUGAAAAGCCUAUCUUUCAACCAUUAAAUUGUUUUCAUGUCUUGGUGGAAAAAAAAAAUCGGCUGAGCAUAUUUCUGUGGGAUGACUUCUAGGUUCUCUGCUCUGUUCCACUGAUCUAUGUGUCUGUACCUCUGCCAUAGUCUUGAUUACUGUAGCUAUGCAGCAUGUCUUGAAGUCAUUUAGACUGAUUCUUCCCACUUUAUUCUUCAAAAUUGUUUCAGCUACUUCAGUUCCUUUGCCUUUCCAUAUAAGUUUUAAAUCUGUAUCUACAAAAAAUCUUUCUGGGAUUUUGAUAGGAAUUGUGCUAAAUGUGUAUAUCAAUUAGGGGAGAAGUGACAUCUUCCCUAUAUUGAAUCAUCCAAAUACAUGAACAACACUGUGUGUCUCCAUUAAUUUAGAUCUUCUUUGAUUUCUUUAAUCAAUAUUUGAUAGUUUUCAGCUUAUGAGUCCUGUUCAUGUCUUAUUAGAUUUAUACUUGCUAUGGUUGGAAUACAUCCCCAAAAUUUCAUAAGAAAAUAUUUGCAAAUCACAUCUCUGGCAAGGUAUUAAUACCCAGAACAUAUUAAAAAACUCCUACGUCUCAACAGCAACAACAAAAACCACAAACAUCACAAAUAACAACUGUUGGCAAGAACAUCAAGAAAUCAGAACCUCUGUGUACUGUUGGAGGGAAUGUAAAAUGGUACAGCCACUGUAGGGGUUUGAACAUGUCCCCUAAAUUUCAUGUAUUGGAAACUGAAUCCCCAGAUUCAUGUUGCCUGAAGGUAAGGCCUUUGGAACGUAAUUGGGAUUAGAUAUGGUCAUCAGGGUAGGGCUUCCAUGAUGGGACUGGUGACUUUAUAGGAAGACGGAUCUGAGCUAGCAGGUUUGCUCUAUCUUGCCAUGUGAUGUCUCCUGCCAUGUCAUGAUGCAGCAGGAAGGCCCUGACCAGAUGCUCACCCCUCAAACUUGGACUUCCCAGCCUCUAGAACUGAAAGUAAAAAAUUUAUUUUCUUUAUAAAUUACCCAGUCUGUGGCAUUCUGUCACAGCAGCAGCAAACGGACUAAGACAAUACCUAAGUAUUUCAUUGUUACAAUACUAAUGUCAAUGGCACUGUGUUUUUAAUUUUGGUCCCCACGUGUUGCUAGUACAUAGAAAUGCAACUCACUUUUGUAUAUUAAUCUUAUAUCUAUAUUGUCUUGUAUCCUGUGACCUCACUAAACUCACUUAUUAGAUUUAGGAGGUUUUUUUGCUUACUGUGUUCUUUCUUCCUUCCUGGGGUCUCAGGAUUCCUCCUUUUAUUGCUUCCUUUCUGUUCAGAGAACUUUCUUUAGCCAUUCUUUUAGGAUAGGUAUGCUAGUGACAACUUCUCUUCCAGUUUUCCUUCAUCUGAAAAUGUCUUGAUUUCCUCUUCAUUCCUGUAGCAUAUUUUUACAUGGUUGAUUUUUUUCUUUCAGCACUUGGAAAAUGUUGUGCCACUUCCUUCUGACCUUCAUGGUUUCUGAUGAGAAAUCCACUGUCAUUAGAAUUAAUUUUCCUUAUAGGUAAAGUGUUAUUUCUCUUCCUACUUUCAAUAUUUUUUUCUUUGUUUUCAGUUUUCAGAAAUUUGACUAUAAUGUGUCUUUGUGUGAAUUUGAAGGGAUUUCUCUCAUUUGGGAUUCACUCAGCUUCUUGAAUCUGUAGGCUUAUGUGUUUUGCCAAAUUUGGGGAGCUUCCAGCCAUUACUUCUUCAGGUGCUUUUUCAGCCCCAUCCCCUCUCUCUCCUUUGGGACUUUGACGACAUCAGUGUUAGAUCUUUUGUUAUACUCCCACAAUUCCCUGAGGCUCUGUUCAUUUAUCUCUGUUAUUCAAAUUGGGUCAUUCCUAUUGUUCAAUUUUCAAGUUCACAGAUUCUUUUUGUCUGUCCUCUCUAUUAUGGUGUUGAACCUAUCCUUUGAGUUUAUUUCAUUUAUUGUAUUUUCUAGUUUUAAAAUUUCCAUCUGGUUCUUCUUUGUCUCUUACAUUUCUUUGUGGAAACUUCUCUAUUUUUUUUUUCAUUGUUUGUUUCAAGCAUACCUGCAAUUGCUUAUUGAAGCAAUUUUAUGAGGACUUCUUUAAAAUCUAACAUCUCUAUCAUCUCAGUUUUGACAUCUGUUGAUUUGAUUCUCUUUUUUCAUUCAGUUUGAGAUCUUCCUCAUUCUUAGUAUAACAAGUGAUUUUUCAUUAAAAUCUGCACAUUUGGGGCAUUAUGUUUUAAGACCCUGGAUCUUAUUCAAACCCUUUGUUUAAGCUGGCUUUCUCUGACACUGCUCCAACAGAAGAGGAGCACUACUUCAUUACUUCUAGGUAGGGGUAGGAGUCCAGGUUCCGUACUCAGCCUCCACUGACACUGCAGAGUGGAGGGCUCCUCGUUACUGCUGAGCAAGGGUGAGAGUUCUAGCUCCCAGCUAGGCUUCCACAGAAACCUCCCUGGCUGAGAGAAAAAGGGGUGCCUCAUUGUUGCCCUUGAUACGGCCUCUACUGACACCACAGUAGAAGGGGCAACCUGCCUACCAAUAGAUGACAGUGAAAGUCAUGACUCUUCACUCAGUCUCCCCUGACACCACCACCACUGCAGGGAGUUGGUAUGCCUCAUUAUAGCCUGGCAAGGGUGGAAACCAGGCUCUCCCAACUGGCUUUGUUGGUGGGGUGGGUGUGGGGUCAUAAUUUUUUUCUGUGGUGUUUGGCUGGAGUAGAGUAGUUAGUGUGUUUUCUUUUUGCUAGGUGCCCCUUUCCUGGUCCUCUGGCUAGACAGAGUAGGCUUUUCUUAUCUGCGCCUGUUGGCAUUUCUGACUCACUGGUUUCUUCAGCAAUGAGUCUGGGACAUACGUGGCAAAAACAAACCCAGGAAACUCACAACCAUGUCAUUCCUUGGGUCUUGAGGUCCCUAGCUAGUCUGCCUUUUCUACCUUUCAGAGUAUUCUUAUGUUUAUUUUGCAGAUAAUGUCCAAGGUUUUUAGUUGUACUUAGUACAAAGAAUAAGAGAAAAUACAUUUGCUCCAUUUUUUCCAGAAACAGAAGUCUAAAUCUUAACAUUUUUAAGAAAUAAUUAUUUCCCACAAAAACCAUGAUAGGAUAGCACUCUUCUAUCUAUUACAGUGGUUACAAAACUGGAGGCCUAUGGUUUUUAAAAAAAUUUAAUUGCUGUUAGGUGGGCAUUCUGUACUCUCCAGUUCUCUACAGCACUCUUCCAUGUCUGCCUAGAUUUGUGAACUGUUCCAUGAAGGCAUCUGAGUUUGCAAGCUCUGAUUUAUAAGUCACAAGGCCAGGCUAUAGAUUACAGAAGUAGAUUUUGAAGGUUCAUGCUAAAGCUUCCCUUUUCAUAGACUAGGGCCCAAUUUAAGAAAUGUUAACCAAGACCCAGCUCAAGCAUAAUGAAGUCUUUCCUAUACUCUGCCUUCGACUUCCCUCCAAAUGUAAUUACUGUACUAUCCCAUCCAAUGAUUAAACUUAGUAUAAGGCCAUCUCCAUUUUCUCAUUUUUCUUCAGAAUGUUUAGAGAAGAGAUAUAGCUACUGUGUGUGUGUGGGUGAGGGAAGGAGAACAGAGAAGAGCUGAUGAUAAUGAUGAAGCAAGAGGAAGGAAGAUGAUCACAUUAAAACUAUAGUGUCCUAAUUUUCAUAAAGCUGGCCCAGAUCAAAUUCUUUUGAACACAAUUGAAUAAUGUUCUAGCAAGAAAGGCAUUUAGAGGUGAAUAAUCUAAUCCAAGCCCCUUUAUCCUUCCAGAAAAGGAAACUGAGCCUCAGAGACUAUACAAGGUCACAAGCUAACCAAUAUUGUUUGUACUACUCCAUCAUGUUCUCUUUUCAUAACCUAGUCCUACUUUCCAAACAAUGGAAGCUGUGAUCAAUGAUGUCACUUCUACUAAUAGUUCCUAAAAAUGUUUCCAUUUGUAACUGUAUUAUUUCAUCUAAUCUACAGAAGAUUACAUUCAAAUUUUGUUCUUAAAAUUUCUGGCAAAUUCAAG